UUCAGCUUUAUGAAUGAGGCAGUUAUUGAAUUUUUAAUGAUGGUGCUAGUAAAUUGGGAUGUUAUUUAUUGAUGUCGAUGGUAGUUGAUUAUGCUCGUUGAUAUUGAUAAUAGUGAUGAGGGUAAUUGAUGGUGGCGAAAGGCUUAAUGUUACCAAUCCCCCCUCCGCUAUGUCGAUCAGUAACGGAGACCAACACAAUACCGAUAUCAGUGUAACUUAGUCCCAGAUAUCGUGCAAAAAAAAACAAACCACCACAAUGCUUGUCAUCCCAACACAACAAGAUACCAAUAAUCAAGACUUGUCAGUUGACAACCCACCGCAGCGAUGGUAGUGAAUGGUGUUGAUGCACGGUGCUGGUAAUUGUCGAUGAUGAUACAGUAUCAUGAUCGAUGAUGUGGGUGAUGAUGUUAUUAUUUCGCCGCUAUCGCGAUGCAUCCUUAAGAGGCCUAGCCGAAGCCUACGGAUCUGUCAGUGCACGGCUCUUGGAUGGGUGGCGCAGCGGUGUGCGCACUGAGCUCUUUGAGGGAUUCCUGACCACGGCUCACAUCAGUGGCGAGGGAUAUGACGGGGCCCUCCAACCCCGUCAGCGUGGUGAACGGGUGGUGUCGUGGAGGCCGCGGCCGUUGCCGGCACCGGCUCAACGCAUGCCCAGCAGCUGCCGGCUCUUGAGCUGGGAUUCCGCCUCGAGGUAUCGCAGCUCGCGCGUGCGCAUGUUCGCUGCCUGCAGGCGCUCGCGCAGGGCAUCCCCACGUCCCACCGGUGCACGGCACGGCCCCGCCAGCGACACGACCGUUGCCGCCCCGACCGAAACCGUCGCACCCACCACCAGGCCGGUGUUCUCCUUGCUCUGUACGCCGUCUCCCACAAACUGCACCUUCUUGCGUGCGAAAGCAAACUCGCCGUCUGCCGGAACAAGGAGAGGAGGGGGGCGAGCGCUUCCGUGAGUUUGUAAUCGGACACCCCUGAUAGUGUUAGUUUGGUGCUUGUGGUUGUUUAUUUGUGUGAAUAAACAUCAAUCACUCGCGUCACCAGUUACCACGCGUGCAGUGUUUCGGCAUUCCCCGUGAUUCGACGAAUUGCUACGUUUGGGGCGUUACGAUUCCAUCCAGGAGUGGAUACUGUUCUUGCCUUGUUUGCAAAGUCUCAUGGGAUUGCAUGUCUCCUGACUUUUCUCUCAUUUGGUUGGUGUCAUUUGUACCAUUAGCCCAAGGGUAAUGUGAUACAUUUUCUUCCCCCCCCCCUCUGAAUUGUUACACGCUGAACAGUUAUAUAUUCAGAGAAUGGAUUUGGCUCCGGGAGACCCAACUGAACACUUUAUUUGUUACAGUCCAGUGUUGAUAAAGCUCUUUUCUAAUGAAUUGUUGUGGAAGCAUAAAAGCUUACACCAUUGUGCAGUACGCCGACUGUAAGUUAUGGUAAAACAACACAUGUUAAGUGGUGGAAAAACACAAAAUAUACCUCAAUGAAAGCAGUGUCAGUGCCUUUCAUCAGUUCUGAAUCGUAUCGGGAAGGGUAAAACUGCAUAUAAUAUUGUCUUAUACACACACAUAGCCUUUGUGUAUGAAAUAUUUACAACAGAGCCAUAUAAAAAAGGUAACAACUUGAAAGAUUUAUUAAUCUGCAGUAUUAAAAACGUCCGUUUUCAUUUUAAUGAGACAUUCGCAAACGCAAAACGGCAACGCCAACUACGAAGUACAACCUUUAUUAAUAACAAUAAAUAUCAUUGUCACGUUUCCAUGCCAGCCAAAUUUGAGCAAGACCAUGAUUGCAGAUGCAAAAUCAACUUCGUAUUUACACGUAACCAUGCAUUUUUGCGGCGCUCGCACGCGCUGAAUAAUUCAUCACGAGCUGCCGUGCCGCUGCACCAUAAUUGGGCGUGUGGACAGGGCGAGUGUUGUUUGAAAGAACCAAUUAAAGCCAGCACGACUCGUGGUGCGAUGUGACCAGGACCACACACAACCCUGCUGCCUUUUGUCAAUCCAGUAUUGAUAUUGUCACAUUCCACGAGAUACUCACUUAGGGCCGAAUUGAUCUAGGACCAGUUAAGAUAUCAUUCGUUCCCUAAGUUAGCUGUGGCAAGGAAUUUAACUAAGCUCGUUGGGCAUAUUGCAGAGUGUGCACAGGACUGCAUCACCGAUCCCCACACACAUAGACAUAAAGACCCCCCCCUAUUGGGGGCAAGUGAGCACCUAUGAAGGCCGACGCUGCACACAAGGGGACGCUAUGGUCAGCACCACAUGCAAACACACACUCACGCGCGCAUACACAAAAUAAAGAUUCCCCCGCAUCGCCACACAAGGCAAGUGCUGUUGGCGAGCCCCGAUGCUACCAAGCGCCUAUUUGUGUAUAUUUAUAUAUACUAUUGGAGCAAGUGCUUUUAGCGAGCACCUAUGAAGGCCGGUACGCCACAUGAGGAGGGUGGGUAUAUAUACACACACACACACACAAAUAGUCGCUUGUCGGUGCAGCGCGAGCCAUCACGCGAGGUUCAUCCUGUAGCGGUCAGCGGUGGCCGCUCGCCACUGCCGCCUGGGCUGCGGGGGGCUGGUAGCGCACAAGCACCCGCAGUUACCUGGGUUCACGAGCUCGGCAAGCGCCGACCCCGGUGCCGGCACGCAGCAGCCCGGCGCAUCCAGCUUCAGCUCCUCCAUCCUGCGCGGCGACGGCACGAGUCGGGGUACAGCGGAGAGACCGCGCGUCAGAGCUGCGGUACCGGCAUCGGAUUUCCAGACCACAGCGGCCGGUUGCGUAAAAAUGCCUUGGGCCAUAUUCACGUCUUGGUGAAUGUUCCUUUUGGUCCAAGAGAAAUGCUCCUGUAUUUUUCCAAACUUUUCUCUUUUACAAUUGUGCUAGUGGCAUCACGUCAUUAAACGGAGGGUCCAUAUGGUACUCUCAAGAAGCAAUGCUUCACGCUGUACGUUAAACGUUACGUUUAAGUAGAUAUCAUAGAACCGCUUCCGAGAUCCUCUCAAGUUGCCCUCCAUACCUAUAAAACACUAAGAGGGCGGUUUGUUCACAACUGCCACAGGCUUCAGUCUCUCCAUCUCCAGCUACCCACCUUUCAGGGUUCUGAAAGGUGUGAACGCGUUAAACCACUCAAUCACACUCCUUUAUUUAAUCAAAUCAGGAGGCCUUCGAGGUCAUCCCUUGCAUGUGAAACCUGGGUUGACAAAAAUUCGUGAACGCGCAGUCGUGUUGAAAGGAAACAGUUGCGAGUCAAUUUCCCAGUCUGAAAU